AUCCAGUUGAAGAGUCCCAAAUAGGAUGAAACACUCAUCCUGUAU
rnacentral:hammerhead_ribozyme from 1 species